GUGACCUACGAACUUCUAACCCCUGCGAGUCAAUCGUACAGUUUGAGCAGGCGCUGAAUAACGCCACUGAAAAAAUCGCACAGCGUAUGCCCAAGGCUCCGCCGAUGCUGAUGGAAAUGGACAAAACGUUAAGAAACGCAAAGCCAGAGGAACAGACUAACACACACUAAUGCUGUUUUUGACCUCUAUUUAUGCCCUCAGUAGGCGUGACCUUACGGCCGCACUUCAAAGCACGGCCGCACUUCAAAGCACUCAGCCUUUUGACGCGUCACCUAAUCUUCGUUCUAAUGGCGCAACUCCUCCCAGUCAUUCAUAAUCCGACCUCCGCGUUUGCACUCGCUGCCUACAAGAGCUCCCAAAUGUGAACAUCACUGAUGUUCAUCGGAUUUGCAGAGUGACGACAACCCCCGCCAGCAUGUUAGAUAAAGGAUUUAAGUUAUAUGCUGCAUCACACAACUACGAAGUGUCCAAAAAACACAGGUUGACAGGGGAGGUCGGUGUGAGAGCCCUGUGCUACAGGUCAAUGAGGAAGAGUGAGGCACCACCACACAGACUAAGUAUUAAGCUUCUGGAUUCAUCGCCGGUGGUACUGACACAUAGCCAGUGCUCCUGUGUGGCAGGUGCUGUUAUGUGCAAUCACACAGUGGCACUGCUCUUCCAAACAGCACACUACUCACAACUCAGAGUGCCGGUUAUCCCCCUGUGCAUAGCUGCACCGAAUCUGAACAGCAAUGGCACAAGCCACGGACAGUGGGUGUGAAGCCAGGACCUAUCAACUCUAUGAUCUUCACUAAGCCGGUACCAAAUAGGAUGGCCCAGACUGGAGCACGGAGUGGAUUCUACAGAGGCACUGUGGGUCCAUUACCAGAUCCCUGACCUGACAAGCCCCUUGUGGAAAGUGCCUUUGGGCUGGUGAAGGAGGGCAGUGUUCUGCCAUGUCAGCAGCCGGUUUUGACAACCCGGUACAUCACACUACACCGUGAUGCACCACCAACACCGCACUUGCCUCUGGAGGGGUAUGACAUCAAGGAAACCCUGCUCGCUCAGACAGCCUGUGAUAUUUUCUCAAACCGCUGCGCUGAACAAGUUUCCAAAGAACAUGCUGUGUGACACAAUAAAUAUCCUUUAACCUGUUAACCUGUGGCUUCUGGAAGAAACUCGGGUGAGUCAGUCACUGCAAACACAUUUGUAUCAUCAAGUGUUUGUCAAAUGAAAAUGAUACGUUUUUCUACACUUAGGAUAAUUUUCUAUGUUGCAGUGCAGUAAAGUGCACGUUUCUUCUGUGUUCAAUCAUACAUGUUCUAAUUGUUAUAAACAGAAAAAAUCUUUUCUUACUUAACUGCUUGAUUCUUAACUUGUUUAACUGAAACAUGAUGAAAUGUCAUAGUAUUAUUUUUUUAAAUGUCCUUGGCAGUGCAUGUGUCCGCAUUGUAACUUACUAAUAAAAAGUCCUGUGUGUA
ensembl:lncRNA